AUUGAACGCUGGCGGCAGGCCUAACACAUGCAAGUCGAGCGGAUGAAGGGAGCUUGCUCCUGGAUUCAGCGGCGGACGGGUGAGUAAUGCCUAGGAAUCUGCCUGGUAGUGGGGGAUAACGUCCGGAAACGGGCGCUAAUACCGCAUACGUCCUGAGGGAGAAAGUGGGGGAUCUUCGGACCUCACGCUAUCAGAUGAGCCUAGGUCGGAUUAGCUAGUUGGUGGGGUAAAGGCCUACCAAGGCGACGAUCCGUAACUGGUCUGAGAGGAUGAUCAGUCACACUGGAACUGAGACACGGUCCAGACUCCGACGGGAGGCAGCAGUGGGGAAUAUUGGACAAUGGGCGAAAGCCUGAUCCAGCCAUGCCGCGUGUAUGAAGAAGGUCUUCGGAUUGUAAAGCACUUUAAGUUGGGAGGAAGGGCAGUAAGUUAAUACCUUGCUGUUUUGACGUUACCAACAGAAUAAGCACCGGCUAACUUCGUG
rnacentral:rRNA from 1 species